GUACUUUGUGGUGGCAUAGUUUGAUAUUGUUGCCAACAACUGACAAUAAACAUGCCUUCUCCUUGCGAACCCUGCAAAGACACGUGUAACGACGGAAACUGCGAGGAAAAUUGCACUUGCAAGGACAAGGGGUGCAACGACUGCACUUCUAAAGGUGGUUGCUGUUAGUAACAAUGGACGUGGCACGCGCUCGUCGGCGGCCCUCUCUGUUCUCUCGCGUGAGCGCCGUGCUCGACUCCUGCUUCCCCGUCUCCUUUACAGUCGUCUUCCUUAUCACUAUUGUUCUGUUUUAUUGCUUCAUAUAAAUGUUAUGUUGAUUUAAACUUAUUGUCUUUUAUUAUCAUUUAAU